UAUAUAUUAAUGUAUAAUGCAUAAUUUUUUUUGAAAAUAUUCGAGAUAGUGUAAUUCUAUUAUAUAUAU
rnacentral:tRNA from 1 species